rnacentral:rRNA from 1 species
GUGGGGAAUAUUGGGCAAUGGGCGAAAGCCUGACCCAGCAACGCCGCGUGAAGGAAGAAGGUUUUCGGAUCGUAAACUUCUAUCCUUGGUGAAGAUAAUGACGGUAGCCAAGAAGGAAGCCCCGGCUAACUACGUGCCAGCAGCCGCGGUAAUACGUAGGGGGCAAGCGUUGUCCGGAAUGAUUGGGCGUAAAGGGCGCGUAGGCGGCCCGGUAAGUCUGAAGUGAAAGUCCUGCUUUUAAGGUGGGAAUUGCUUUGGAUACUGUCGGGCUUGAGUGCAGGAGAGGUAAGCGGAAUUCCCGGUGUAGCGGUGAAAUGCGUAGAGAUCGGGAGGAACACCAGUGGCGAAGGCGGCUUACUGGACUGUAACUGACGCUGAGGCGCGAAAGUGUGGGGAGCAAACAGGAUUAGAUACCCGGGUAGUCC